rnacentral:rRNA from 1 species
GAGAAUGUGCAGUGUCGAAGAGAAGUCGUUAAACUCGCCGCCUGGGAAGUAUGGUCGCAAGGCUGAAACUUAAAGGAAUUGGCGGGGGAGCACCACAAGGGGUGCGGCGUGCGGUUUAAUCUAAUUCAACGCAGAGAACCUUACCAGAGGCGACGGCAGAAUGAAGGUCGGGUUGAAGACUCUACCUGACGAGCCGAGAGGUAGUGCAUGGCCGCCGUCAGCUCGUGCCGCAAGGUGUCCUGUUAAGUCAGGCAACGAGCGAGACCUGUAUUCAUAAUUGCUAGCAGCUUCUUCGGAAGGACUGAGCACAUUAUGAGGACUGCCCUGGAAACAGGGAGGAAGGUUCAGGCUACGGUAGGUCUGUAUGCUCCGAAUCCCCUGGGCAACACGCGCGCAACAAUGGUAUGGACAAUGGGUUACGACUCCGAAAGGAGAAGUUAAACCUCGAAACCAUACCCAAGUACAGAUUGAGGCUUGCAACCCAGCCUCAUGACGAUGGAAUCCCUAGUAAUCGGAUGUCAACAUCAUCCGGUGAAUAUGUCCCUGCUCCUUGUUCACACCGCCCGUCAAACCACUCGAGCAGGGUUUAGGUGAGUGUUAGCUUUAUUGGUUAAUACAAACCUAAGCUCAGUGAGAUGGGUUAAGUCGUAACAAGGUAGCC